rnacentral:rRNA from 1 species
UACGAAGGGGGCUAGCGUUGUUCGGAAUUACUGGGCGUAAAGCGUGCGCAGACGGUUGCGCAAGUCAGAUGUGAAAGCCCCGGGCUCAACCUGGGAAUUGCAUUUGAGACUGCGUAGCUAGGGUGCGGAAGAGGGAAGCGGAAUUUCCGGUGUAGCGGUGAAAUGCGUAGAUAUCGGAAGGAACACCAGUGGCGAAAGCGGCUUCCUGGUCCAGCACCGACGUUCAGGCACGAAAGCGUGGGGAGCAAACAGG